rnacentral:rRNA from 1 species
GCCGCGGGAUUAGAGUUUGAUCCUGGCUCAGGACGAACGCUGGCGGCGUGCUUAACACAUGCAAGUCGAACGGUAAGGCCCCUUCGGGGGUACACGAGUGGCGAACGGGUGAGUAACACGUGGGUAAUCUGCCCUGCACUUCGGGAUAAGCCUGGGAAACCGGGUCUAAUACCGGAUAUGAACUCCUGCCGCAUGGUGGGGGUUGGAAAGUUUUUCGGUGCAGGAUGAGCCCGCGGCCUAUCAGCUUGUUGGUGGGGUAAUGGCCUACCAAGGCGACGACGGGUAGCCGGCCUGAGAGGGUGAUCGGCCACACUGGGACUGAGACACGGCCCAGACUCCUACGGGAGGCAGCAGUGGGGAAUAUUGCACAAUGGGCGAAAGCCUGAUGCAGCGACGCCGCGUGGGGGAUGACGGUCUUCGGAUUGUAAACCCCUUUCAGUAGGGACGAAGCGCAAGUGACGGUACCUGCAGAAGAAGCACCGGCUAACUACGUGCCAGCAGCCGCGGUAAUACGUAGGGUGCGAGCGUUGUCCGGAAUUACUGGGCGUAAAGAGCUCGUAGGCGGUUUGUCACGUCGUCUGUGAAAUCCCUCGGCUUAACCGGGGGCGUGCAGGCGAUACGGGCAGACUUGAGUACUACAGGGGAGACUGGAAUUCCUGGUGUAGCGGUGAAAUGCGCAGAUAUCAGGAGGAACACCGGUGGCGAAGGCGGGUCUCUGGGUAGUAACUGACGCUGAGGAGCGAAAGCAUGGGUAGCGAACAGGAUUAGAUACCCUGGUAGUCCAUGCCGUAAACGGUGGGCGCUAGGUGUGGGGUCCUUUCACGGACUCCGUGCCGUAGCUAACGCAUUAAGCGCCCCGCCUGGGGAGUA